GGGACCUCUAUCUCUGGAUUUUUGAAGAUUUUUAACAGCAUAUGCCAUUGGUGUUCACUCCUAUGUGGUGCCGAUAUUCAUUGUUGAGAUAACCCCAACAAACCUUAUGGGGGCUCUAUUAACAUUACAUCAGGUACCAAUGUUAAUUCAAAGUUUCAAACUCAUUUUACUAGAACUAUACAGAUGUACACUUUCAUAAGCCAUUCUUUCUUGACUUAAUGAUUUUACAGUAUUUUACAGGUUUCCAUUGCAAGUGGUCUUUUGGUGGCAUUUACAAUAAGUGCAUUGGUUACUUGGAGAAUACUGGCUCUAAUUGGAAUGCUUCCAUGUGCUGCUAUGAUUUUUGGGCUUUAUUUCAUCCCAGAGUCCCUUAGAUAGUUGGAAAUCAUAUGACGCCAGUGUUUGACUUGGUCAAUCCUCAACAUAAUUUCUGAUAUGUAAGACAUGCCAUAUGCACAUAACAUGUAUGGUCACAAGAUGAGCUUGCAUGGUCAGCAUGCGAAAGAAAGGUGCUUGCAUGGUCAGAUUGAACUUGCAUGGUGACAAGAUGAAGUAAUGAAACAAUACCCUCAUGCUUGUGCAAUAAGAGACGUGAAGGAUAAGGAACUAGGGAGCUUCUUUUAUGGAAUAUCACCUUGGUAGGUGAAUCAUCUUACAGUUAUUUGCUGCUUAGAUAUCCUUUUUCACAUGCUUCAUCUGUACUGAAGCAAUGAGGAAAUAAUUUCACGUUGGUCAAAUUUUGCAGUUCAUGCUUAUGGUUGCUGCCGGCUCAGUCAAAAAGGAGGUUUUUUCCAGGGCUGUUGUUCAGGUCUGUCAUCUGGAAAAAUUUACUUUUUAUCGUAUUAUGUAAAAUGUUGAAUUACUUAUAUAGAAAUUAUUAAAAUUAUUUUUAUCCAAGAGAUAUGGUAUUCUCAAACUCGUGUAAUUAUUCUGCUAUAAUCUUAUAGCAUAUUGCAUUUUUAUGUUGAAGUUGUCAUAUCUUUGAUA